rnacentral:rRNA from 1 species
AUUGAACGCUGGCGGCAGGCCUAACACAUGCAAGUCGAACGAAUGGCGGACGGGUGAGUAAUGUCUGGGAAACUGCCCGAUGGAGGGGGAUAACUACUGGACACGGUAGCUAAUACCGCAUACCAUCGGAUGUGCCCAGAUGGGAUUAGCUAGUAGGUGGGGUAACGGCUCACCUAGGCGACGAUCCCUAGCUGGUCUGAGAGGAUGACCAGCAACACGGGAACUGAGACACGGUCCAGACUCAAACGGGAGGCAGCAGUGGGGAAUAGUGCGCAAUGGGCGCAAGCCUGAUGCAGCCAUGCCGCGUGAAUGAAGAAGGCCUUCGGGUUGUAAAGUACUUUCAGCGAGGAGGCGUUACUCGCAGAAGAAGCAACGGCUAACUCCGUGCCAGCAGCCGCGGUAAUUC